rnacentral:tRNA from 1 species
GCCUUAGUAGCUUAACAACAAAGCAUUGACCUUGUAAGCCAAAGAAUGGGAUUCACCCCUAAGGUU